UACGAACCGUACAAACGUUAUUCGGAAUCACUGGGCUUAAAGGGUGCGUAGGCGGCCACGUAAGUGAGAUGUGAAAUCCCUCGGCUCAACCGAGGAAGUGCAUUUCAUACUGCAUGGCUUGAGGGAGACAGGGGUAAGCGGAACUGAUGGUGGAGCGGUGAAAUGCGUUGAUAUCAGGAGGAACACCGGUGGCGAAGGCGGGUCUCUGGGCCGAUACUGGCGCUGAGGAGCGAAAGCGUGGGGAGCGAACAGG
rnacentral:rRNA from 1 species